CAAGCGAAGCGCCGGUGCACUCGCUGUAGUCGUCCUCGCUGGGAGCGCCGUCUUCUUCCCUCCCUCUGCUGGGGUGCAGCCCCCACAGCUCCCAGGAGAUUAGAGGCCAACAGGCAAACAGGCAGAGAGUCGCCCGCCCAGGCUCCUGGAGAAUGCAAGUCAGCCUUCAGUAAAGGAAAUGGAAUGUGUCACCCGAACGCAGAGCUGGCCAGGUCCCUAAAUGCCCUUUGUCAUCAACUUCAUUUACUGCUUUGAAACGAAAACUAUGUGACCUUGGUCCCAGUCUGUGAGACGCUCGGUUCCAGAUAAGCACUGCUGACCUUAGCGGCCCUGGGAGUUUUCCCACUGUGACCGAACGGCCUGCCUCUCCCAGCUAUUUCGGGCCGGGCUGCCCAGUGGCCUCCCAGGGGCAGAGGCUGGUACGGCAAACUUUUGAAUUCCUUCCCGAAGGGCAGCCACAGGCAGGCUUGGAUAGCGGUCCCGCUGCCAAGGGGCGGGGGUGGGACAGCCUCCGCGGAGGAGCUUCGGAGAAGGAGCCGAGAUGGAGAUUUGGCUGCCAGGCCCAGCCUCCCUGGCCGCUGGCCCCACUCGCUGCUCCUGGACAGCGGCGCCUGCGGGCUCGCACGUUUGGGGCAGGUGGGGAUGGGGACUGGCUGCGGCAGAGACGCGACAGGCCGAUGUCCUGCCUCCCGCGCCUGCAGAAGGCCCCCGUCGGAGGGGCGCAAACCUGUCCAAGGUUGUCCCCUCUGCACGCUCCACGCAAAGUCGAAAAGUCGGGCAGCCCUGGGUGAGAGACCACGUCUGCAGUCUCACCGUCGCCAUUCACGUGCUCCCCGACCCCAGUCAGGCCGUGUGGUGCCCAUGGCUCGGUUUCCCCACCUCUCAACGUUUCUGCCCCUCUCUGGGGGAGGCCUUUUUAGGACUUUCAGAGAAGACGGAGGUGGGCCAGGACCAGCGGUCAGGCAAUUUUCCUUAAUAAAUACAGUAGGAGGGCCCUCUGGUGGACAGCGUGAGACUAAGCACUCGACUGAGCAAUGAAUAAGUGGGUGAGUAUCCCCGUGAGUAAAGCAUCGUUAGUCUUUUAGGCAGAGGGUCAAACAAGAGCAGGGGACUUCCAGGAGGAGGCUCUGGUGAGGUCUCCCAGGGCUCGAGGAAGACUCGGAGAAUGAAGGUCACCGGGAAACCCGUGAGUCCACGACCGCUGAGUCGCUGUUGACAGUGAGGAGCACAUUUCACAGCCCCAUGUGCCCGGAAGCUGGCUCACUGAGAGAUGCGACACCCUUUGACACAGUCCUAUUUCCUCCAGGACUUCAUCCCACAGACACAGUUGCAGCUGUGUCCACACCGCAAGUCCAGGGACGCGUCCUGAGGCCUUGCCCUAAUGCAGGAGGAUGGCAGAUGCCCUGAAAGGGCAUCGCCGGGCCUGGAAAAACGAGGGACAGUCCUUCCAUGCAGUGGGACACCACACCGCUUCUCAGAGAAUGCAGGAGCCGAGGUGGAACAAGCCACACUGGGAGGUGAAAAAUUACGAACGUUAUUGAAGGACGUGCUCUGAAAAAAAGACCCGAGUAAAUGGAAAGGCGAACUGUGUUCUCGGGUGGAAGAGCCGUGAAAAUCUCAGUCCUCGCCCGACCUCCCUGCAGACCGAAAACAAUUCCGUUCAAAAUUCCAAAAGGCGGGGUGGCUGGGAUGUCACGGGGGUGGGUGCAGGGGCCCACCACCUGUGCAGGUUUGUUAGAAAGAGGACCAUGGUAUUGGAGCAGAUGUGAACUAUUACACCAACACAACAGAACCAAAAGCCCCCAGGUGGAGGCACGUGCCGGGAAAUUUGAGCUAUUAUUCAACUGGGGUUGCACAUAUUUCGAUGGGGGAAGGGACGGGCUAUUCUGUAAACACAGCACGGAGACAGGUGUCGCAUGUGCGGAAGAAGGGAUGCACAUGACCGAGAAUGUCAGAAAGGCGCACCCUGCUUGGUGAUCGGGUAUCAAGAAGACGCCUGGGCCAACGGGCUGGUAAAACUGAUACACCUGAUAUUAACACACCCCACCCUGUGGGGCAACAGGAUCUCGCGUCCACUGCGCACGGUUUUGCUUCAUUUUGGUAAAAGCUAUUACAGGCAUGUACACUGUUCAGGGUCACCACGUUCAGGAUCGUGGGCACCUCCCGGGGUGAAAGGCAGGUGGGGGCCAGGAGGAACACCUGAGAGCUUUCAAGGUCAAAGGGUUAAUGUUUUAUUUUUUAAGCUGGAAAGCAUAGAAAGAUUUAGGUAUCUUAGUAAAUGAACAUUUGAGUGAUUGACAACAAUGACAGUAAUAUACGGUGUAUGGUGGGAACUCACUUCAGCAUGAUGGGAAACAUAAGUGAAGGUUCCAUCAGAAAAGGUUUGUCCUCUUCCCCGUCCUGCCCCACCGCCAACGCAGAACUGUGUGUCUAGCACAUUUCCGUCUGGUUUUUUAAAAGGUAGUGUAAUAUAUGUGUUUAUGAUUUG